GGCGAAACGAAACUUGUGAAUCGUGCAUUUGCUCUUCAUGGUAGCUGCCAAAAAAUCGAAUCAAACUUAUGGGACACUGGAUUACAGGUUGCUGCCACUACUCCAUGUGCCCGCAAUUGUCUUGCGUGUAUGAUUACACUAACGGCGUCGCCCACCACGGCGGAAGUGUUUUGCGUACACGCGUUUCAGCAUGAAGCCUGCAGGUGGACGUAAAUUGUAGAAGGCAGCUAGUGGGGGAGAAGAUCAUGGUCAUAGGUCAUGUGACUCCUGGAGCUCCCAGUGGGUUCCCUUGUGGAGUACUUUUCAGAACACACACACACACACAGUUUGCUCACAGAACCAACGAGUAGGAUGUUGCUUGAAUACUGAGAGAAAAUGGCGUAACACAUACAAAUAUCGUGUGACACAUAUGACAAUAGAAACAUUUUUCACGAGGGAUGCAUGAAACACUGUCGUAAUAUUGUGUGCAUGAACCAUUGUGUGUGACACAAGCCCUGGGGGCACACCGCCUCGGACACAUUUUGGGAAGCAUAAAACACGGUAUAUACAGAGCUACUAUGGUGGAUGCUUCUUUUUUCUUUUUGGCCGUUAUGAGACAUCUUCGGCCGUAAUGAGACUACCUUCGGCCGUAUUGAGACUUUGGCCGUAACGAGACACUUGGGGAUUAAAGGAUUUUCGGCCGUAAUGAGACUUUCGGCCGUAAUGAGACUUCGGCCGUAAUGAGACUCGGGCCGUAAUGAGAUGUUACCAUUUCUUGUGCCAAUCCCAGGGCUUGUAAUCCUACCUUCCACUCCUCCAUUUUGCUUCGACCCCUUUCUAAACUAUGGGAUCCACGACAUCAUGACAGCGCAUGACUACGAAAAUGCGCAUGGUGAUACGACAUGACUAGCGCCGCGUGUGGUAAAUCGAUACGCUUUAAUUUCUGCGCGCAAUAUAACUAGGAAAUAGACUAGCCUAGUGACAAUGCACUGCCAAAUGAAAGAUGAUACUAGUGAUCACUCGUACAUGUAUAACGAUAAUUCGUAGCUCUACGCCGUCAGACAACUGUCAUCAUCGAGCCACAACGCUGGGUCGAUGGAUUAGCAUUACCUAACAGGAAAGUUGCUGGAGCACCAGCACCCAAAGAGAAAUCAGUCCGGAGAACCGACUGACAGGCCGACCAUGAACAAAUGAACGCAAUGUACUUGUACCACGAUGGAACCAGGGCCGGAUUUAAGGGGGGCGGGGCGACUGCCCCCCCCCCCCCCCAUACGGCUGUGUUCCCUAUGUAAAAACCCUAUCUCAUGGAUGAUGCUGUGCCGCAAAACACGAAAUUUCCUUAAGACCCCCCCCCCCCCCCCCCCCCCCAUGACAGACCCUUAAAACCGUCUUAGGAUGGAACCAACUCAUUCUGAACAGAGCAAUCUGAAAUGUACCGCAACUCUCUUAUACCACAACUCUCUUAUCUGCACAACCUCCCCAAACUCAGCACGUUAUAGAACGAGUGAUGCUUACGUCACUCCGUGACGUAUACAGUCCGCCGCAGGUAGCGCCGCGGCGUGUGCGUAUAGCCAACGCCACCUCGAUGCAGGAGGCCUGCUUACUGCCUCAUCUCCCUUCUUCGUUACGUGGACAUAUAAAGUUAAAAUUCGUUCAGCGAAUUCAACAAUUCGCAAAUGAUUGCACCUAACUUAGAACCUGUAGACCUGAACCUGAGGGCUAUAGAACCGGUUCCAAGAGAAAGGGUUCCAGCAGCAGGUUAUGCACCUGCUUGUCCGUGCUCUUUCACUUCUGUCCAACUGAAUCUGUAAUCUGAAAAGGCGCGACACGCUUUCUAGAAAAUCAGUCUUGAGAAAGGUAUACGCUUGAGUGACGUGACGUCACAAUUAAGAGUUAGCCAAUCACGACGCUCCUUCAGCGGCCGUAGAUAUGGAAGCGAGCCGCCGUCAGCCAAAUGAGGCCACCAUACGUAACGUCGACUGUAAGACACCCAGCAGACCAAUCGAUUUUCUGGGUGGUUUCCCAAGAGUUUGGACGCGAGCUUUAAUGAGAUCAAGUUUGUUGUGUAUCCAAGAAGUUUCGCCAUUUUGUGUAAAGUGGCUUUUUUAAGUGUUGCCCUCAUCUCUCGCUGAGGUACUUGAAAUGAUCUUUACUCCGUGUGAAAUACCUCAGCGAGACGUAACAUAUAACACGAAUUAUAGUACCUUGGUACUCCAUUUCGGAAAGUGAAAACAGAGAGGAAAUUUUCCCGAAGAACCCGUCACAAAAUAUUUUUCAGGCUACUGUACUGGCCCACUAAGAAGGCGAUGCCGUCGUUUCUGCUUCUAUUUUUGCAUGUUGACAUCCUUCCUGGAAUUCCGAAACUAACAUUGAAAGGACCACGUUAAGGCAACGACAGGAAGCCCCGUCCUGGAAUUCCUUGUCCCUGAUAGCCUGACAGCAACGAGCUAUAAACGACGCCAUAUGGCUAAGCCCCCCAUUGCAGUUCCGCUUUUGGGGGCUCCUGUUGUUUCCCGGUGCACAGUCAUGUCCUGUAUCGUCAGCGUCCAUAGACCUACUUAACUUCGAUACUCUAUUCCAGUUACUCCAUCUUAAAUAAAAAUAUUAACUUGGUACCUUACAAAUAUUUUCAAAUGCCAGUAUUUAACAUCUUAACUUGUGGCAGUUACUGUAUUAACUUUCAUUUACUUUUUCGGCAAGAUUGAGAAAUAAAUAACUUCGUCCGUUUCCGUUGGCUGCUUUGCCACUUACAUGUGUAUAUAGCGCGUUCAUCUGAGAUAUUCCGGGGGUACGUCCGUCUGUCUCUGGCGUUGCCUGCAGAAAUGGGCGAUGUUGAUAAGACGGGACAAUGUUUUAGCCUCAAGUGCACGUUGGUGAGUGAUUGAGGUUUAUCGAAACCAGGGGAGGGACCGGUGUUUCAUGGAGUUUUCAUGGAGUGAGCGAGCCGGACUACAGACGUUGACAAUACAGACGCACCGUUGAUUAUAAAGCAGUAGAUGAAUUUUAGAUGCUACACGCCCAGUUACGUUAGCUCUUCCUAUAAGCACAGCAUGGGUAUUCCUUAUCGGGCGAGGUGUCCGUCGGGGAGGUGGAGAUAUAUCACAUUAUUAUUAUUAUUACAUUAAAAAAAGAUAUCAUUCAAACUAGAACGGGUACAGAAGAAGGCUGUCAGGUUUAUUUAACAAAUAUGCUAGGAGCGACUGUCCGUCUCUUUUACUCGAGCAAAACAAUAUUUCCACACUGGAAGCACGGAGAAAAUUACUUAGGCUGUUACUUUUGUGCAAAUCAAUGACUGGAAGAGUUAAUUUAGAACUCAAAGAUUGCGUGGGACCUCUCACAACAAGAAGGACGCGAAACAGUCAGCGUGUACACUUGUUAGAACCAAUUUUCGCGAGAACAGAUGGAUUCAAGUACAGUUUUUUUCCCUCGUACAGUAACAGAUUGGAACCAUACACUCUUAAAAAUGAACUUCCCCACAUAGCACGCUCCUAGCCAACCGUCAUCCCGAAUGACAACGUUCUCGCACCCGAUUUGUUGAAAACGUUGUCAUUCGGGAUGAUGGUUGGCUAGGAGUGUGCUAUGUGGGGAAGUUCAUAUGUGGGGAAGAGUGUACCAGCGGCAUGGCCGAGUGGAUUAAGGCGUCUCGCUCGUUGGUGUCGUGCUGAAGACUGGGAGGUGGUGGGUUUGAAUCCUACCACCGGUUGUGCUGUCUCAGGUUUUCCCUGGGUUUUCCGAAGACUUUUCCAGACGAAUGUCGGCACAGUUCCCCUUGAAGUCGGCCCAGAAGGCGCACUAACCCCCUGUCCCCCACUCCUUCCUGCUGUCCUCUCUCCAUCUGUCCUCAUCUUUACGCCGCUCAUAGCCACAGUUGCUUCGCGGCGCUAACACGAAAGGAAAAAAGAAAAAGAUUGGAACCUUUCAGUGCAUUUGAUUCUGACAACUUCGUGAAAGAGUUGGAACAUUCUUUAUUGUGACUUUUUUUCCCGUCUUCUUGCAAUUCUGUACAUGCGCAUAUCACUUGUAUUGCUUGGUGGUGUAUAUGCACCACGGUCUCCGUCACCCUUUGGGACAUCAACAGGCCUCUCCACCCUGCUUUGAUUAUCGGAAUCCUCAUCUCCAUGCACCAUCAUCUAUCUAUGGGGCAGCGCCCAGCCUGAUGGCCGGCAUCGGCCCCAUAUCGUCAUCGUAUCUUUAUUUGUGUGUUGUAUUAUUACUACAACUGUGUUAUGUGUUGUACUAUUUGUAUUACGUGUAUUGCCUCUCCUGCUUGGGUCAUGUUGACCCGCAGUAUUAAUAAAAUAAUA